GGGGCCCUUCUCUUUGCUCAUGACGGCCCGGAGACGUGAGCGGACUGCGCGCGGAGGGGCCCUGGUCAGGCGGGGUCACUUGUACCGGAGCAGGUGGGCGGGGUGGAGCAGCCCCCCUGAUCCACAGACAUAAAAAAGGCUGCAGUGGGGCGUGGACAGAGGGGCGGAGCUCCUAGCAGCACAGGUGCAGCAGCAGGUGGAGCAGAAGCUCCAGGAGGAUCCUGCAGGAGAACGAGGAGGUGAAAGGUCAGGUCAGACGGCUGCUGGAGCGGCUGCAGCUCCUGAUGGAGGAGAACUCCUGGCUGCGUCUGCGCAGCCGUCAGCGGGCGUGGACGUGCAGGUGCUGGAGAGCGUGCUCCGGCAGACGGAGCGCUGCAGCUGCAUCCACGAGAAGGCGGCAGAUCAGCUGACGGAGGAGUGUCAGCAGCUGGGGGCGGAGCAAAGAGACCACAAGCAGCAAAUCAAAAAGCUUCAGUCCGAACGUGCACGAGUCCAGACGGACCUGCAGGUUCUGAGGUCAGAGUCCACUGCAGAACCAUAUUUACACCCCCCGACCAAACAUUUUCCAAACCCACUAAACCUUCAGAAGUUCACAGAUUAGAGAUCAUUCCGAAUCUUUUUGUCUCACUGAUGGACUGAGGAAGAACGCUGAAGAAAAACCCACACAUGACCAACAGAACACGCUAACUCCACGCAGACAGAACCGGGCCGGAUUUGAACCCGACCUUCUCAGUGCUGAGAUGAGAAGAAGUUUAGAAAACAUGGAGGAAAAGAAAAAAAGAAAAACAUCAAACAGCUUCUAUCUUCUUCCUCUCAUCCGGAGUCGUUUGGUUCUGAUCCAAACCUGAAAUCCUUUUUCCAUUUAGGAACAUUUGAUAUCACCUUGCAUCAUUGCAUCGUCAUUUUUGAAACAAUAAAUAUGAAUUAUAUUUAUUUUUGGGUGCAAAUAAUUACAUUAAUAUUGAUAUAAAAUCGAAUUUUCUCAUAGUGUAAAGUAGCUUUUUAUCCUUGACAGAAGCUCACAUGACUUUCUUUCAAAAUAAGAGACUUCCUGUCCCAAACAGGAACCUUCAAGUGAAGCAAAUGUAUUCCUAAACAACAGCAGACAAGAAUGACUUUCUCUUGUUGGACAUUUGGAAUAACUUCUUUUAAGUCAAUGUUCUCCAGUUAAUCCUCUCACUGCAAAACCUGAAAAAAAGACUAAAGAAAAAUUAACUUAAGUCUCAAGUGUUUUAAUAAAAUAAUCUUAAUUUAAAAAAUCAUUUCUUGAUGUUCUAGUCUUGUUCUGACUAGAAUUUUAUUCUAAAGGAUGAUUUUUUUUUCUUACUUCAUUGGCAGAUACAUUUUUUAUGAUUUGAAAAAAAAAACCUGAUUUUAUUUUUUUCUAUUUUCUAAGGACCUGUUUCUGUUGAUCAUCAUCAGAGCGUCAAACAAAAGCAGAAUUUAAUAUUCAGAAAUAUGUAUCCUAUCAAAAGGGGCGGAUCCUCUCAGUCAAACUCACUAAACAUUUUAAACCAAAAACCUGAUCUGGACAUUUUCUGAAGCCGAUCCGUCCGUCCAGCAGGAGGCGCUGGAACGCCGCCUGCAGCAUCAACAACACAUCCAUGAGUCUCUGUGUUUCAGACAGGAGCAGGUCUGCCUGUCCGACCAGAACCGGAAACUCAGAGUCAAAGUCACGGCCCGGGGGCCGGAUCCGGCUCUCCAGGUAAUUUUAUUUUAUUAUUAA